AAAGGAAUAGACGGGGGCCCGCACAAGCGGUGGAUUAUGUGGUUUAAUUCGAAGCAACGCGAAGAACCUUACCAGGGCUUGACAUCCUACUAACGAGGCAGAGAUGCGUCAGGUGCCCUUCGGGGAAAGUAGAGACAGGUGGUGCAUGGUUGUCGUCAGCUCGUGUCGUGAGAUGUUGGGUUAAGUCCCGCAACGAGCGCAACCCUUAUUGCUAGUUGCUACGCAAGAGCACUCUAGCGAGACUGCCGUUGACAAAACGGAGGAAGGCGGGGACGACGUCAAAUCAUCAUGCCCUUUAUGUCCUGGGCCACACACGUAAUACAAUGGCGGCCAACAGAGGGAGGCUAACCCGCGAGGGGGCGCGAAUCCCCAAAAGCCGUCUCAGUUCGGAUCGCAGGCUGCAACCCGCCUGCGUGAAGUCGGAAUCGCUAGUAAUCGCGGAUCAGCAUGCCGCGGUGAAUACGUUCCCGGGCCUUGUACACACCGCCCGU
rnacentral:rRNA from 1 species